UACAGAGGUCUCAAGCGUUGUUCGGAUUCAUUGGGCGUAAAGGGUGCGUAGGUGGCAUGGUAAGUCGGAUGUGAAAUCCCGGGGCUUAACCCCGGAACUGCAUUCGAUACUGCUGAGCUAGAGUACUGGAGAGGAGAUUGGAAUUUACGGUGUAGCAGUGAAAUGCGUAGAUAUCGUAAGGAAGACCAGUGGCGAAGGCGGAUCUCUGGACAGUUACUGACGCUGAGGAGCGAAAGCGUGGGGAGCGAACAGG
rnacentral:rRNA from 1 species